GGGGAAAGGUGACGGCUCGCAACCUCCUCCUCACCCUCUACCGUCCAGACUGGAGGCGUGGUAGCGCCAGCCGACCGCCUGACGGGAGGCAAGGGGGCGGAGAUCCCUGGGCAGGGGCGGGCCGUGGUCACGGAGGUAACGGCGGUGGCCUGUCCGAAGACGCUUGGUAUGGUGCGCGGCGCUGAUAUGUUCACUCCUA
rnacentral:lncRNA from 1 species